ensembl:lncRNA
GUUUUUUUCCAUUUCUCCAAGCAGCCUGCUUGGAUCUGAGACUGCAGUGCUAAUUACUGGGCCAGCAGAUCGCCUCUCUCAAAAAAAACAAUCACCGCUUGCUCUGGGAAUUGCACCAGCAAGCCUCCCUGCCUCUCCUUUCAUCUUUAGGCCCUGCUGUUGGAGCAUUCUGGCUUCCCUGGUCUUUUCCCCAGGAGGAAACAGCCCCCAGCUCACGUUCGGCUCCUCAGCCAAGAGCCAUUCAUUAUUGUUUUUUCCAGGUGAUAAUCUUCCGGUUGCGUCGAUGCCAAUGGCCGCACCAGGCCCCGUGCUCAAGACUAUCAGUCAAUUACUGGCUGGUGGGGUUGUGAGUGCCGGCAGCCAUCCAGAGAAUCGCAGUUUGUAUUAAAAUACGACGGACCAAGCUGUACAGAUCGGUGUGUUUGGCUUUGCAAAUAAAUGAGAGCUACUGGAGUCAACCCAGCACGUGCUCCAGGCGCAGACGGAGAGACACAGCGAGGGCAUGGCCGUGGCAGGAUUGGAAGGGACAAGAGCAGCUGUGACAGGAAUGAAGAAUGUGGCGUACUUAAAGGAUUAGAGUCCCAGUCUAGAGACAAUUAUAGCAGAAACACUUGUUAGUGUUCUUCCUCAGAGAAUGCACCGGAGGUGUUAUGUAAAGCCACUUGAGACUGGAAUGGAGAGCUCACAACACAGGCGUCUGGGAAAGGUAUCCGGUGGAAUUAAAUCAAGCUCACUAUCUCUCGUCUUCCGCGAACGCAGUGAACACAGAUUAAAAGCGUGAUCACUGAUGCAGAGACGUGUGUAGAGCUUGGAGCACUACAAGCAGACCAAAUUAAGGUACA